AGAGUUUGAUCCUGGCUCAGGACGAACGCUGGCGGCGUGCUUAACACAUGCAAGUCGAACGAGAAUCUGUGGAUCGAGGAUUCGUCCAAGUGAAGCAGAGGACAGUGGCGGACGGGUGAGUAACGCGUGAGGAACCUGCCUUUCAGAGGGGGACAACAGUUGGAAACGACUGCUAAUACCGCAUGAUACAUUUGGGUGGCAUCAUCUGAAUGUCAAAGAUUUAUCGCUGAAAGAUGGCCUCGCGUCUGAUUAGCUAGUUGGUGAGGUAACGGCCCACCAAGGCGACGAUCAGUAGCCGGACUGAGAGGUUGACCGGCCACAUUGGGACUGAGAUACGGCCCAGACUCCUACGGGAGGCAGCAGUGGGGAAUAUUGGGCAAUGGGCGCAAGCCUGACCCAGCAACGCCGCGUGAAGGAAGAAGGCUUUCGGGUUGUAAACUUCUUUUAAGAGGGAAGAGCAGAAGACUGUACCUCUAGAAUAAGCCACGGCUAACUACGUGCCAGCAGCCGCGGUAAUACGUAGGUGGCAAGCGUUGUCCGGAUUUACUGGGUGUAAAGGGCGUGCAGCCGGGAAUGCAAGUCAGAUGUGAAAUCCAUGGGCUUAACCCAUGAACUGCAUUUGAAACUGUAUUUCUUGAGUACUGGAGAGGCAAUCGGAAUUCCUAGUGUAGCGGUGAAAUGCGUAGAUAUUAGGAGGAACACCAGUGGCCGAAGGCGGAUUGCUGGACAGCAACUGACGGUGAGGCGCGAAAGUGUGGGGAGCAAACAGGAUUAGAUACCCUGGUAGUCCACACUGUAAACGAUGAAUACUAGGUGUGCGGGGACUGA
rnacentral:rRNA from 1 species